rnacentral:rRNA from 1 species
UACGUAGGGUGCGAGCGUUAAUCGGAAUACUGGGCGUAAAGUGUGCGCAGGUGGCCGCGCAUGUCGAGUGUGAAAUCCCCCGGGCUUAACUGGGGAGGUCAUUCGAUACUGAUCGACUCGAAGGCGGAGAGGGUAGUGGAAUUCCCGGUGUAGGUGGUGAAAUGCGUAGAUAUCGGGAAGGAACACCGAGUGGCGAAGGCGACUACCUGGCCUGUUCUUGAC